rnacentral:lncRNA from 1 species
CUCUGGGCGAAGAAAAGCAGGAGAUUUUGUGAGUGGUCAGGCUGGGGACAGUGACACUGGAGAUGCACGUUCAUGAGAAUUCUCCAUUUUUUUCUUUCAGCCUUUGAAUGAAUACAACGUCGCCCGGUUGGAAUAUUAUCGCUAUUUUACGAGAAAAAUAGGCAGGGUCGUAUAGUGACCUGAACACACGAACAAAACAGAGCUAUUUGAAUAUAACUAUGGAUUAUUUGGAACCAAAACAACAUUUGUUGUUGAAGUAGAAGUCCUGGGAGUGCAUUCUGAUGAAGAACAGCAAAGAUGAACAUGAUACCUUCAGGCCAUUGGAAAUUGCUCCCAAGGAUCAACCAGACUUGUGGAGGUCUACAAUUUUUUUUCUGAGGUCUUGGCUGAUUUCUUUUGAUUUUCCCAUGAUGUCAAGCAAAGAGGCACUGAGUUUGAAGGAACAACAUACAUUUGUGCAUGAGGCAGAUGCGGUGCGACUCCAGUUUCGCCAUCAAAUGGAAGAUGGUGUCCACUCACUCUGGUCAGUCUCACAGGAGGAAAGGAAGGAGAGAGCAGGGACCGAGAGGCGGCUGGGAAAAAUCGUUAUGUUUCACUAUAUUGGAUCACUCCAAAAUAUUGGUAUCACUCCGCGGCGGAGGGAUACACCCGAGGUUAUGGUGAAGGUGACUACGGAUGGUGUCUUAAUGCAUGGCAGGGAUAAUUCGGCCGAGAACGGUGUGAACCUAAAAACCCCUCUGACCAGCUGAAGAAGAAAAUGGCGUUCAGUAUGGUCCUGCACCUCUUCUACAGACAGACCUGAGUCAGUAACCUGUACAAAGCAUCCAAUCAAAGCUAUCAACUUCUUUUUCUCUCAUGCCUUUUCUCUCAGGAGUGUGACAGGAGUCCAUGUGGAGUGAGCAUGGAGAAAGAUCUGUUCCAAGCUUCUCUCAUGUUGGUGGUAUACUGGUUGACAAAUGGACAAGACAUAAUGGGUGGUAUAGAUGGUGGCGGCUCAGGUGAGACAUUGAAAUUGGGACAUUAUCAUGGGCCAUCCACUUUGGACUGUAAAUCUACCUGAAGAAGAAAAUGAAGAGACGCCAGAAGAUUGAGUGCCGGGGAAGGAAGGAGUUGGUCAACUGUUGCCAUAAUUGAUUUAGACUUGUCUAAAAUUGUUAUUUGGGGUAUCAGGUUGAUUGAGGUCUAAACACUGCUAAAUGUAUAGUAAAGAAUGCAUUGAGAUACUGAUCUGUAAUUAUACAUCGUAAUGAAAAAGAUGUUAGAAUAAGAUGAAUUAUACUGUAUGUUAAUAUAAAUGUACAUUCUGCCAGUGUCGUUGUGUGCUAAGUUGAGGGUUUUAACUUUGAGUGAUAGGACCAAUGUGAAUCACUGAGCAUUUUCAUUCUAAAUUUGGGAUGGAUAGUUUUGAUUAUGAUAUGGAAACUGAAUCAUUUUUAAAACUUACUGAUUUGAGUAAGUUUUAGUAUAUUGAUAACUAUAUGAGUGGAGCAAUUCAUGUAUUAUGGAUUGAUUGUUUUGUUGUUAUGCUAACAUGGGUAAAGAAGGUGUGUACUAAAGAUGUUGACACUAUUCUCAGCAUGCCCUGGUGAAUGGAGAGGGUGAACUCUGAUCCUGAGAGUGAAACUAAGCCUAAUCUAUUUGACCUAUAUCCAUUACCAAAUUACAUUUUUGAUGAUAAUACUCAGGAACUAUGGCAGGUUUAUGCUAAUGGUCAUAUAGUCCAUAGUUGUUGCGUUAUAAAUAGUGGAAUCAUAAUACUUGUCCUGGGUCUUGUUCAUUAGGCACCAAACUGAAUAAAUGUUACUUAAACCAGGAGUCACUACCUGGAUUUGUCCAACAAGAUUAGUUUCUACAGAUGGUACUAUAGGAAUGGAAAUAGUUGUUUCCACCAUGCUGAUCCAUUGGAGUGUGCUAGAUAACUAAAGCUUAUUUUAUUAAACUCCAUUGUUGCAUGCAUUGCAUUAUGGAUUAAAUAUUUGCUUGUCACUGUCUAUGAAGAUAUAACCUUGAAUCAUAUAAACUGUAUGUAUCUUUUGUUUUUCUUCAUGGGUUCGUGCAGGUGACUGUGUAUCAUGACCUCACCAAAGAAAUCGGUAGAACGCUCAGAAUAUGUGUUGGAGGGGAAGUCGGGAGACAGUGCUCAGUUUCUUCGGAGGAAGCUGAGCCCGUGCUAUAGCAACCGGUCACAUGCGGAACCCAUGCAAUUCAUUAUUGCUUUAAUGUUUCUUGUUCUAUGAAGAAUUUAUGCACUAGGUUAAGGUUAUAAGCUCAGUGACCCAAUGGAUGGUAAUAGACUAGUGCAAGGGGGAAAAAUGAUCCUAUAUGUUUGUUAGUUCUUUGUUUCAUUUUUAUUAAUGUAUUUUUUAAAGUUGUAAAUCUUUAAAGUUGAGAUUGAGUCUCAAAAUGGGGGAAUGUGGUAGAAUUACAACAUAUUAAUCACAAUACUUUCAUAUUAGUAUAUUAAUAUUAGUACAUUCACUCUGUUUUUCUGAGAACACUCAUGUGUCUGUGAGAGAAGCCUCUGAGGCUUAAUGCUGACAGUUGAUUUACAAUGGCUUGGUGAUAAGACAAUAUUCCAUAGAAUGAGUUGGUGUUUGUGUACUGAGGUACCAGGGAGGAGAUGGCUCGGGUAUGGAUGAGAGGACCCUCGUCUUGGGGGCCAAGCCCUGGUUUCCUUACAAUGAGAACAGUCUACACAGCAGAUACUGUCUGCUGUGAAUUAUUAAUUUCUUUCAUACAAAUCCUAAUCUUUUGACCCAUUCUACUCAGGUUCUCAGUCUCUCCUUUGAUUAGAAUAAUUACCACGACAAGCCUUAUUCUAAAAUUGAUUAAAUCAUUUUUUCCCUAUCAAUCUACACACAAUACCCCAUAAUGACAAAGCAAAAAUAGGUUUACACUUUAACUAAUUUAUUCAAAAUAAAAACAUUGAAUAUCAUAUUUACAUAAGUAUUCAGACCCGUUACUCUACUUUAUUGAAGAACCUUUGGCAGCGAUUACAGCCUGGAGUCUUCUUGGCUAUGACGCUACAAGCUUGGCACACCUGCAUUUGAGGAGUGUCUCCCAUUCUUGUCUGCAGAUCCUCUCAAGCUCUAUCAGAUUGGAUGGGGAGUGUUGCUGCACAGCUAUUUCUAGGUCUCUCCAAAGAUGUUCGAUCGGGUUCAAGUCCAGGCUCAAGGAGUUCAGAGACUUUUCCCAAAGCCACUCCUGCGUCGUCUUGACUGUGUGCUUAGGGUCGUUGUCCUGUUGGAAGGUGGACCUUCGCCUUAGUCUGAGGUCCUGAGCAGGUUUUCAUCAAGGUUCUUGCUGUACUUUGCUCUGUUCAUCUCUGCCUCGAUCCUGACUAGUGACCAAGGCCCUUCUCCCAAUUGCUCAGUUUGGCUGGGCGGUCAGCUCUAAGAAGUCUUGGUGGUUCCAAACUUCUUCCAUUUAAGAUUGAUGGAGGCCACUGUGUUCUUGGGACCAUCAAUGGUGCAGAAAUGUUUUGGUAACCUUCCCCAGAUCUGUGCCUGGACAAUUCCAUCAAGCUCAUGGUUUGGUUUAUGCUCUGACAUGCACUGUCAACUAUGGGAUCUUAUAUAGACAGGUGUGUGCCUUUCCAAAUCAUGUCCAAUCAAUUGAACUUACCACAGGUGAAAUCCAAUCAAGUUGUAGAAACAUCAAGGGUGCAAUGGAGCUCAAUUUCAAGUCUCACAGCAAAGGGUCU